CAGUAGCCACGGUAAAACGAAGGGUGCAAGCGUUAAUCGGAAUUACUGGGCGUAAAGCGUGCGUAGGCGGUGAGUUAAGUCUGCUGUGAAAUCCCCGGGCUCAACCUGGGAAUGGCAGUGGAUACUGGCUCGCUAGAGUGUGUCAGAGGAUGGUGGAAUUCCCGGUGUAGCGGUGAAAUGCGUAGAGAUCGGGAGGAACAUCAGUGGCGAAGGCGGCCAUCUGGGACAACACUGACGCUGAGGCACGAAAGCGUGGGGAGCAAACAGGAUUAGAUACCCCCGUAGUCCCUGUCUCUUAUAC
rnacentral:rRNA from 1 species